GAUGAAUGCUGACAGAAUGCUUAACACAUGCAAGUCGAUGGGGAAGUGGUGCUUGCACCAUGGCAACCAUGGCGGACGGGUGAGUAACGCGUAAGGGACUUACCUGCAGGACUGGGAUAACAGGGGGAAACUCCUGACAAGACCGGAUAAUGUCAUGGAGCUGCAUGGCUUUAUGAUGAAAGGAGACGCCUGCGGAGAGCCUUGCGUCCUAUUAGCUAGUUGGUGAGGUAAUGGCUCACCAAGGCGAAGAUAGGUAGCCGGCCUGAGAGGGUGGACGGCCACAAGGGGACUGAGAUACGGCCCUUACUCCUACGGGAGGCAGCAGUGGGGAAUAUUGGACAAUGGGGGCAACCCUGAUCCAGCAAUUCUGUGUGCACGAAGAAGGUUUUCGGAUUGUAAAGUGCUUUCAGCAGGGAAGAAGUAAGUGACGGUACCUGCAGAAGAAGCGACGGCUAAAUACGUG
rnacentral:rRNA from 1 species